UGAUGUUAUGUUAUGUUACUAUUACUUUAUGUUUACUGUAUUUAUCAUAACAAUUUGUAUAUAGAUAUUUCUACGGUUUGUUUUAUUGUUUACCACAGAAAAAAUCAUGAUUUUAGGUUAAGUAGUACUCCAAACUUGUUUGCUACAUUUAAAUUAGUAACAUUUACAGGAAAGACACAAGUAAUUUUAAAUUCACGACAAGAACAGAAUAUUUAUUUAAAAAGGAAAGGCUUAAUUUAUCGAAAAGAUUCAGAUAGUGACAUAUCAGAUUAUAUAACAAAUACUAGCUCAAACAGCUCCGAUGAAAAUAUAAUUAAUGCUCCAAGGAAGCAGAAAAAUCAAGCACCAUACUGUAAACAAAUAAAAAAAAGAUGGACAACUGAAGAAGUAACGGAAGCUAAAACAUAUUUCUCGAAAUACAUACGUAAAGGAAAGUUACCUCCUCUAUCAAAAAUAGAGGAAAUAAAAGCGACAUAUAACGUCCUAAGAAAUAGAAAACCAGACGUAAUAAAAACAUGGAUACAUAACCAGUUAAAGAAAACUAAAGCUCUUAAGUAAAAUGAUUAUUUUAUUUUAUUGUUUAUUUGAUUAUUUUAUAUGAUAAUUUUAU